rnacentral:rRNA from 1 species
AUGCACGCUGGCGGCGUGCCUAAUACAUGCAAGUCGAGCGAACAGACGAGGAGCUUGCUCCUCUGACGUUAGCGGCGGACGGGUGAGUAACACGUGGAUAACCUACCUAUAAGACUGGGAUAACUUCGGGAAACCGGAGCUAAUACCGGAUAAUAUAUUGAACCGCAUGGUUCAAUAGUGAAAGACGGUUUUGCUGUCACUUAUAGAUGGAUCCGCGCCGCAUUAGCUAGUUGGUAAGGUAACGGCUUACCAAGGCAACGAUGCGUAGCCGACCUGAGAGGGUGAUCGGCCACACUGGAACUGAGACACGGUCCAGACUCCUACGGGAGGCAGCAGUAGGGAAUCUUCCGCAAUGGGCGAAAGCCUGGCGGAGCAACGCCGCGUGAGUGAUGAAGGUCUUCGGAUCGUAAAACUCUGUUAUUAGGGAAGAACAAAUGUGUAAGUAACUAUGCACGUCUUGACGGUACCUAAUCAGAAAGCCACGGCUAACUACGUG